rnacentral:rRNA from 1 species
GAUGAACGCUAGCUACAGGCUUAACACAUGCAAGUCGAACGCGAAAGCGGCUUCGGCCGUGAGUAGAGUGGCGCACGGGUGAGUAACGCGUAGAUAACCUGUCUUCAUAUUCGGGAUAACACGCCGAAAGGGGUACUAAUACCGGAUACGCUUGUAUUUCAUAGGCAAGGCAAGGAAAGGUGGCCUCUACAUGUAAGCUACUGUAUGAAGAGGGGUCUGCGUACCAUUAGCUAGUAGGUGGGGUAAUGGCCUACCUAGGCGACGAUGGUUAGCGGGUCUGAGAGGAUGAUCCGCCACACUGGCACUGGAAUACGGGCCAGACUCC